rnacentral:rRNA from 1 species
AUGGGUAUGUCUCCAUAUAAGAUGGUUUAUGGAAAAGCAUGUCAUUUACCUCUUGAACUUGAACAUAAAGCAUAUUGGGCUAUUAAAGAGCUCAACUAUGACUUCAAACUUGCCGGUGAGAAGAGGUUGUUUGACAUUAGCUCACUUGAUGAAUGGAGCAUCCAGGCCUAUGAGAAUGCCAAGCUAUUCAAAGAAAAAGUCAAACGCUGGCACGAUAAAAGGAUACAAAAGCGUGAGUUUAACAUAGUAGAUUAUGUGUUAUUAUUCAACUCUCGUUUAAGUUUUUUUGCAGGAAACUUCUCUCUAAAUGGAAAGGUCCUUAUGUUAUCGAGGAGUUCUAUCGUUCUGGUGCCAUAA